rnacentral:snRNA from 1 species
UUACCUUUCUCGGCUUUUGGCUAAGAUCAAGUGUCGUAUCUGUUCUUAUCAGUUUAAUAUCUAUAUGUGGGCCAUCGGCCCAACGAUAUUAACUUAAAUUUUUAGGGUUUUGACAUGGUGUGACAACGUACUCACA